rnacentral:rRNA from 1 species
CCUACGGGUGGCAGCAGUGGGGAAUAUUGGGCAAUGGAGGCAACCCUGACCCAGCCACGCCGCGUGAAUGAUGAAGGUCUUCGGAUUGUAAAGUUCUGUGAUGGGGGAUGAACACAAUGACGGUACUCCAAUAGCAAGUUACGGCUAACUACGUGCCAGUAGCCGCGGUAAUACGUGGGUGGCAAGCGUUAACUGGAAUGACUGGGCGCAAAGGGUGCGUAGGCGGUUUAGUAAGUGGGCGGUGGAAGUCCGGGGCUCAACCUCGGCGCGGCCGCGGAGACUGGUAGACUAGAGUGCAGGAGGGGUGAGUAGAAUUCCUAGUGUAGCGGUGGAAUGCGUAGAUAUUAGGAGGAACAUCAGGGGCGAAGGCGGCUUACUGGACUGUGACUGACGCUGAGGCACGAAAGCGUGGGGAGCAAACAGGAUUAGAUACCCCUGUAGUC